UUUCAAGUCUUUAAGAGCAAACGGUGGAUGCCUUGGCAUCUGGAGCCGAAGAAGGACGUAGCAAUCUGCGAUAAGCCUCGGGGAACUGAUAAGCAAGUUUUGAUCCGAGGGUGUCCGAAUGGGGAAACCCCGCUGGGCGGCGUGCCGACCUAGUGACUCCCGCCUGAAUAUAUAGGGCGGGUAGAGGGAACGUGGGGAAGUGAAACAUCUCAGUACCCACAGGAAGAGAAAGCAACCGCGAUUCCGUUAGUAGUGGCGAGCGAAACCGGAACAGGCUAAACCGAGUACGUGUGAUAUCCGGCAGGAGUUGCGUAUUNNNNNNNNNNNNNNNNNNNNNNNNNNNNNNNNNNNNNNNNNNNNNNNNNNNNNNNNNNNNNNNNNNNNNNNNNNNNNNNNNNNNNNNNNNNNNNNNNNNNGGGGUUGUGGGACUUUUCAGACAGUUCUGCCGAUCUGUCGGCGUUACAAGAAGGUAUAGACGAACCGCAUUGAAAGGCGGGUCAUAGAGGGUGCCAACCCCGUAGUCGAAAUGCCUCUCUUGACGCGAAGAGUAUCCCAAGUAGCACGGGGCCCGAGAAAUCCCGUGUGAAUCUGUCAGGACCACCUGAUAAGCCUAAAUACUCCCAGAUGACCGAUAGCGGACAAGUACCGUGAGGGAAAGGUGAAAAGUACCCCGGGAGGGGAGUGAAAUAGUACCUGAAACCGUUUGCUUACAAACCGUUGGAGCCUCCUUAGUAGGGGUGACAGCGUGCCUUUUGAAGAAUGAGCCUGCGAGUUAGCGAUAUGUGGCGAGGUUAACCCGUGUGGGGUAGCCGUAGCGAAAGCGAGUCUGAAUAGGGCGAUUCAGUCGCAUGUCCUAGACCCGAAGCGAAGUGAUCUAUCCAUGGCCAGGUUGAAGCGACGGUAAGACGUCGUGGAGGACCGAACCCACUUAGGUUGAAAACUGAGGGGAUGAGCUGUGGAUAGGGGUGAAAGGCCAAUCAAACUUCGUGAUAGCUGGUUCUCUCCGAAAUGCAUUUAGGUGCAGCGUUGCGUGUUUCUUGCCGGAGGUAGAGCUACUGGAUGGCCGAUGGGCCCUACAAGGUUACUGACGUCAGCCAAACUCCGAAUGCCGGUAAGUGAGAGCGCAGCAGUGAGACUGUGGGGGAUAAGCUUCAUAGUCGAGAGGGAAACAACCCAGACCACCAACUAAGGUCCCAAAGCGCGUGCUAAGUGGGAAAGGAUGUGGAGUUGCUGUGACAACCAGGAGGUUGGCUUAGAAGCAGCCACCCUUGAAAGAGUGCGUAAUAGCUCACUGGUCAAGUGAUUCCGCGCCGACAAUGUAACGGGGCUCAAGCACGCCACCGAAGUUGUGGCAUUGACAUUAUUGGUAGGCCUUCGUGGUCCAGCCGUGUUGAUGGGUAGGAGAGCGUCGUGUGGCCAGCGAAGCGGCGGUGUGAACCAGCCGUGGAGGCUACACGAGUGAGAAUGCAGGCAUGAGUAGCGAAAGACGUGUGAGAAACACGUCCUCCGAAAGACCAAGGGUUCCAGGGUCAAGCUAAUCUUCCCUGGGUAAGUCGGGACCUAAGGCGAGGCCGACAGGCGUAGUCGAUGGACAACGGGUUGAUAUUCCCGUACCGGCGAAGAACCGCCCAAGCUAAUCCAGUGGUGCUAAGAGUCCUAACCCGGCUGAGUGGAUCCCUUCGGGGUGAAGCCGGCCGGUCUAACGCUCGACCCCGUUCUGGUGCGGCUAGCGUAUUAACAGGUGUGACGCAGGAAGGUAGCCCAACCCGGGCGAUGGUUGUCCCGGGGCAAGUGCGUAGGCCGAGAGAUAGGCAAAUCCGUCUCUCAUUAAGGCUGAGACACGAUGCGGAUAAAAAGUGGGUGAUCCUAUGCUGCCAAGAAAAGCAUCGACGCGAGGUUCAAGCCGCCCGUACCCCAAACCGACUCAGGUGGUCAGGUAGAGAAUACCAAGGAGAUCGAGAGAAUCGUGGUUAAGGAACUCGGCAAAAUGCCCCCGUAACUUCGGGAGAAGGGGGGCCUUCCGCUUAUUAGGAUUUACUCCGAAAGGGCGUGGAGGCCGCAGAGACUAGUGGGUAGCGACUGUUUACUAAAAACACAGGUCCGUGCCAAGUCGCAAGACGAUGUAUACGGACUGACGCCUGCCCGGUGCUGGAAGGUUAAGAGGACCGGUUAGCCGCAAGGCGAAGCUGAGAAUUUAAGCCCCAGUAAACGGCGGUGGUAACUAUAACCAUCCUAAGGUAGCGAAAUUCCUUGUCGGGUAAGUUCCGACCUGCACGAAUGGCGUAACGACUUCCCAACUGUCUCAACCGCGAACUCGGCGAAAUUGCAUUACGAGUAAAGAUGCUCGUUACGCGCAGCAGGACGGAAAGACCCCGUGACCUUUACUACAGCUUGGUAUUGGUGUUCGGUGUGGCUUGUGUAGGAUAGGUGGGAGACUUUGAAGCGGUGACGCCAGUUACCGUGGAGUCAUUGUUGAAAUACCACUCUGGUCACUCUGGAUAUCUAACUUCGAACCGUAAUCCGGUUCAGGGACAGUGCCUGGUGGGUAGUUUAACUGGGGCGGUUGCCUCCCAAAAAGUAACGGAGGCGCCCAAAGGUUCCCUCAACCUGGUUGGCAAUCAGGUGGCGAGUGUAAGUGCACAAGGGAGCUUGACUGUGAGACUGACAGGUCGAGCAGGGACGAAAGUCGGGACUAGUGAUCCGGCAGUGGCUUGUGGAAGCGCUGUCGCUCAACGGAUAAAAGGUACCUCGGGGAUAACAGGCUGAUCUUGCCCAAGAGUCCAUAUCGACGGCAUGGUUUGGCACCUCGAUGUCGGCUCGUCGCAUCCUGGGGCUGGAGUAGGUCCCAAGGGUUGGGCUGUUCGCCCAUUAAAGCGGUACGCGAGCUGGGUUUAGAACGUCGUGAGACAGUUCGGUCCCUAUCCGCUGCGCGCGUAGGAAAUUUGAGAGGAUCUGACCCUAGUACGAGAGGACCGGGUUGGACGAACCUCUGGUGUGCCAGUUGUUCUGCCAAGAGCACCGCUGGUUAGCUACGUUCGGGAUGGAUAACCGCUGAAAGCAUCUAAGCGGGAAGCCGGCCUCAAGAUGAGAUUUCCAUACCUUCGGGUGAGAGGCUCCCAGCCAGACUACUGGGUUGAUAGGCCGGAUGUGGAAGCGUGGUAACACGUGAAGCUGACCGGUACUAAUAAGCCGAUGACUUGAUAAC
rnacentral:rRNA from 1 species